rnacentral:rRNA from 1 species
AUUGAACGCUGGCGGCAGGCCUAACACAUGCAAGUCGAGCGGAAACGAAGAGGAGCUUGCUUCUUUGGCGUCGAGCGGCGGACGGGUGAGUAAUGCCUAGGAAAUUGCCUUGAUGUGGGGGAUAACCAUUGGAAACGAUGGCUAAUACCGCAUAAUUUUUUCUUUCGAAAGAGGGAAAAACAAAGAGGGGGACCUUCGGGCCUCUCGCGUUGAGAUAUGCCUAGGUGGGAUUAGCUAGUUGGUGAGGUAAGGGCUCACCAAGGCGACGAUCUCUAGCUGGUCUGAGAGGAUGAUCAGCCACACUGGAACUGAGACACGGUCCAGACUCCUACGGGAGGCAGCAGUGGGGAAUAUUGCACAAUGGGCGCAAGCCUGAUGCAGCCAUGCCGCGUGUAUGAAGAAGGCCUUCGGGUUGUAAAGUACUUUCAGCAGUGAGGAAGGGGUGUGUUUUAAUAGAGCACAUCUUUGACGUUAGCUGCAGAAGAAGCACCGGCUAACUCCGUGCCAGCCGCCGCCGUAACAC